CCUACGGGGGGCAGCAGUGAGGAAUAUUGGUCAAUGGGCGUAAGCCUGAACCAGCCAAGUCGCGUGAGGGACGAAGGCUCUAUGGAUUGUAAACCUCUUUUAUAAGGGAAUAAUGAGCGGGACGUGUCCCGUUUUGUCUGUACCUUAUGAAUAAGGAUCGGCUAACUCCGUGCCAGCAGCCGCGGUAAUACGGAGGAUCCGAGCGUUAUCCGGAUUUAUUGGGUUUAAAGGGUGCGUAGGCGGUCUUUUAAGUCAGCGGUGAAAGUCUGUGGCUCAACCAUAGAAUUGCCGUUGAAACUGGGAGGCUUGAGUAUGUUUGAGGCAGGCGGAAUGCGUGGAGUAGCGGUGAAAUGCUUAGAUAUAACGCAGAACCCCGAUAGCGAAGGCAGCCUGCCAGGCCAUGACUGACGCUGAUGCACGAGAGCGUGGGGAGCAAACAGGAUUAGAUACCCGAGUAGUC
rnacentral:rRNA from 1 species